AAUGAACGCUAGCGAUAGGCUUAACACAUGCAAGUUGAACGCACUUUCUAUCUCUAGAAAGUGAGUAGCGAACGGGUGAGUAACGCGUAAGAAUCUACCUUACAGAUCAGAAUAAGGUUUGACUCUCAUCUUUUUGAGAGAAACUGAAUACUGGAUAAAUUCUCUGCACAGCAACUGGUUGAUAUGGCUUCUUUACUUCGUAACCAAGUCAACCCAUUGCUUUGUUUGAUAUGGCUUUUUUGCGUGGCUUUGCCAAAGCAACCAAGUCAACAAAAGCAAGAAAGAGAAUAAAGGAAUGAAAUUAUCAAGCAAUUGCUUGACGAAUGCCUUUGUAAGAUGAGCUUGCGUAAGAUUAGGUAGUUGGUGAGAUAAUGGCUCCACCAAGCCAAAGAUCUUUAGUUGAUCUGAGAGGUUGAUCAGCCACACUGGGACUGAGACACGGCCCAGACGCUUUCGAGCGGCAGCAGUGAGGAAUCUUGGACAAUGGACUCUCGUCUGAUCCAGCGAUAUCGCGUGAAUGAAAGAAGGCUAACCUGGUUGUAAAGUUCUUUUCUCAAGUGGAGAAUUA
rnacentral:rRNA from 1 species